rnacentral:rRNA from 1 species
UACGUAGGGGGCAAGCGUUGUCCGGAUUUAUUGGACGUAAAGAGCGUGUAGGCGGUUUGGUAGGUCCGCUGUGAAAACUCGAGGCUCAACCUCGAGACGCCGGUGGAAACCAUCAGACUAGAGUCCGGAAGAGGAGAGUGGAAUUCCUGGUGUAGCGGUGAAAUGCGCAGAUAUCAGGAGGAACACCGGUGGCGAAGGCGGGUCUCUGGGCCGUUACUGACGCUGAGGAGCGAAAGCGUGGGGAGCGAACAGG